rnacentral:rRNA from 1 species
AGAACGAACGCUGGCGGCAGGCUUAACACAUGCAAGUCGAACGCGUGUAGCAAUACACGAGUGGCGCACGGGUGAGUAACGCGUGGAUAUCUGCCUUUUGGUUCGGAAUAACCCCGGGAAACUGGGGCUAAUACCGGAUGGUUCCUACGGGAUAAAGAUUUAUCGCCAAAAGAUGAGUCCGCGUACGAUUAGCUAGUUGGUGAGGUAAUGGCUCACCAAGGCGACGAUCGUUAGCUGGUCUGAGAGGACGAUCAGCCACACUGGGACUGAGACACGGCCCAGACUCCUACGGGAGGCAGCAGUGGGGAAUAUUGGACAAUGGGGGCAACCCUGAUCCAGCCAUGCCGCGUGAGUGAUGAAGGCCUUCGGGUUGUAAAGCUCUUUUGGCGGGGACGAUGAUGACGGUACCGCAGAAUAAGCCCGGCUACUUCGCGCCAGCAGCCGC